UGGCUCAGUUGUUAAGAGCACUGGCUGCUCUUCCAGAGGACCUGGGUUCAAUUCCCAG
rnacentral:tRNA from 1 species